GAUGAACGCUGGCGGCGUGCCUAAUACAUGCAAGUCGAGCGAACAGACGAGGAGCUUGCUCCUCUGACGUUAGCGGCGGACGGGUGAGUAACACGUGGAUAACCUACCUAUAAGACUGGGAUAACUUCGGGAAACCGGAGCCAAUACCGGAUAAUAUAUUGAACCGCAUGGUUCAAUAGUGAAAGACGGUUUUGCUGUCACUUAUAGAUGGAUCCGCGCCGCAUUAGCUAGUUGGUAAGGUAACGGCUUACCAAGGCAACGAUGCGUAGCCGACCUGAGAGGGUGAUCGGCCACACUGGAACUGAGACACGGUCCAGACUCCUACGGGAGGCAGCAGUAGGGAAUCUUCCGCAAUGGGGGAAAGCCUGACGGAGCAACGCCGCGUGAGUGAUGAAGGUCUUCGGAUCGGAAAACUCUGUUAUUAGGGAAGAACAAAUGUGUAAGUAACUAUGCACGUCUUGACGGUACCUAAUCAGAAAGCCACGGCUAACUACGUG
rnacentral:rRNA from 1 species